CUGGGGAUCAAACCAACCGUCCCGCCGCCGCCCCUCCUGGGGGCUCCACCCGCCUCUGGCUGGGUGUAGCAGCCGUGUUAGUCUGUAUUCGCAAAAAGAAUAAGAGGACUUGUGGCACCUUAGAGACUAACUGUGUCUACAUUUACACUCCUGUAUUAAGAGGCAAUUGAUACAGAUGUAUACCAUUUACACCUCAGCUGCAAAUGUUUCAAUGCUCCCCCUAUCAUCUCCGUCCCAGAGGCUAGCGCAGAUAAGAA